UCCAAACCCACCAACAACCAAACCAAUUUCUUGAACCUUUCAAGCAAUGAUAACUCGAGCUUUGAUAAGUGGAGAGCUACUGUUUCUUUCUUUCCUGCCUUCUUGAAAAAGGGCAAGGAUGCUAAGGUCCUCAAAGAAGAGCUUCUUGAAGCAAUUGCUCCUCUUGAUCGUGGAGCUGAGGCUACUCCUGAAGACCAGCAGGCAGUUGAUGAGAUUGCGCGCAAACUUGAAGCAGUUAAUCCAACAAAGGAGCCACUCAAAUCUGAUUUACUAAAUGGGAAAUGGGAGCUUAUUUACACUACUUCACAAUCAAUUCUGCAAACCCAGAGACCUAAAUUCUUAAGAUCCAUAACAAAUUACCAAGCAAUCAAUGUGGAUACACUUAGGGCCCAGAACAUGGAGUCUUGGCCAUUCUUCAACCAG
rnacentral:misc_RNA from 1 species